UACGUAGGUGGCAAGCGUUGUCCGGAUUUACUGGGCGUAAAGAGCGCGCAGGCGGUCGUUCAAGUCGCGUGUGAAAGCCCCCGGCUCAACUGGGGAGGGUCACGCGAUACUGAUCGACUCGAAGGCAGGAGAGGGAAGUGGAAUUCCCGGUGUAGUGGUGAAAUGCGUAGAUAUCGGGAGGAACACCAGUGGCGAAGGCGGCCUGCUGGGCUGUUGCUGACGCUGAGGCGCGACAGCGUGGGGAGCAAACAGG
rnacentral:rRNA from 1 species